CCACCCAUGUUAUCUACAUGAUUAAAUGUCUAUGUGGGCUGUGUAAUGUAGGUAAACACCACCCAUGUUAUCUACAUGAUUAAAUGUCCAUGUGGGUUGUGUUAUGUAGGUAAACACCACCCAUGUUAUCUACAUGUAUAAUGUCCAUGUGGGUUGU